UUGAUUCUAAGUGUUGGCAGCAAUUUUGGUAAAACAAAGAAUGUUCACAAGAUGUUAUGUGUGAUGUCUUAACAUGAGAUAUCCUAUGUACCUGCUGGAGUUCAAGAACAAGUUCAUGCAGGAUUGUUUUAGAAUGCCACAUACAAUGCCAUGGCUUCUGAUAUUGGAUGUACCUGCUGGAGCUUAAAUGAAAGACAUGUU
rnacentral:lncRNA from 1 species